rnacentral:rRNA from 1 species
CACGGGGGGAGCAAGCGUUGUUCGGAAUCACUGGGCGUAAAGGGCGUGUAGGCGGUCAGGUAAGUGGGAUGUGAAAUGCCCCGGCUCACCCGGGGACCGGCAUCCCAUACUGCUUGGCUUGAGUACGGGAGAGGAUGUGGGAAUUCCUGGUGUAGCGGUGAAAUGCGUAGAUAUCAGGAGGAACACCGGUGGCGAAGGCGCACAUCUGGCCCGAUACUGACGCUGAGGCGCGAAAGCUAGGGGGAGCAAACGGG